rnacentral:rRNA from 1 species
AGAGUUUGAUCCUGGCUCAGAAUCAACGCUGGCGGCGCGCCUAACACAUGCAAGUCGAACGAGAAAGCAGGAGCAAUCUUGUGAGUAAAGUGGCGUACGGGUGAGUAACACGUGGAUUAUCUACCCUCUUGUGGGGGAUAACCCUGGGAAACCGGGGCUAAUACCGCAUAAGCUCGAGAGAGGAAAGCAGCAAUGCGCAGGAGGAGGAGUCCGCGGCCGAUUAGCUAGUUGGUAGGGUAAAAGCCUACCAAGGCUACGAUCGGUAGCCGGCCUGAGAGGGCACACGGCCACACUGGCACUGAAACACGGGCCAGACUCCUACGGGAGGCAGCAGUGGGGAAUCUUGCACAAUGGGGGAAACCCUGAUGCAGCGACGCCGCGUGAGCGAUGAAGCCCUUCGGGGUGUAAAGCUCUUUCGGCAGGGAAGAUUAUGACGGUACCUGCAGAAGCAGCUGCGGCUAACUACGUGCCAGCAGCCGCGGUAAUACGUAGGCAGCAAGCGUUGUUCGGAGUUACUGGGCGUAAAGGGUGUGUAGGCGGUUCUCUAAGUUUGGUGUGAAAUCUCCCGGCUCAACUGGGAGGGUGCGCCGAAUACUGAAGGACUAGAGUGCGGGAGAGGAGAGUGGAAUUCCUGGUGUAGCGGUGAAAUGCGUAGAUAUCAGGAGGAACACCGGUGGUGUAGACGGCUCUCUGGACCGUAACUGACGCUGAAACACGAAAGCGUGGGUAGCAAACAGGAUUAGAUACCCUAGUAGUCC